CCAUCGGUGGUUCAGUGGUAGAAUGCACGCCUGCCACGCGGCCGGCCCGGGUUCGAUUCCCGGCCGAUGCA
rnacentral:tRNA from 1 species